GAUGAACGCUGGCGGCGUGCCUAAUACAUGCAAGUCGAGCGAACGGACGAGAAGCUUGUUUCUUUGAUGUUAGCGGCGGGCGGGUGAGUAACACGUGGAUAACCUACCUAUAUGUCUGGGAUAACUUCGGAAAACCGGAGCUAAUACCGGAUAAUAUUUUGAACCGCAUGGUUCAAAAGUGAAUGACGGUCUUGGUGUCACUUCUAGCUGGUUCCGCGCUGCAUUAGCUGGUUGGUAAGGUAACGGCUUACCAAGGCGACGAGGCAUAGCCGACCUGAGAGGGUGAUCGGCCACACUGGAACUGAGACACGGUCCAGACUCCUACGGGAGGCAGCAGUAGGGAAUCUUCGGCAAUGGGCGAAAGCCUGACGGAGCAACGCCGCGUGAGUGAUGAAGGUCUUCGGAUCGUAAAGCCCUGUUAUUAGGGAAGAACAGAUGUGGAAGUAACUGUGCACAUCUUGACGGUACCUAAUCAGAAAGCAACGGCUAACUACGUG
rnacentral:rRNA from 1 species